UAAUUUUGCUAUGUAAAUUUGACCAAAGAUAACGUGACAAAUAAAUUUAAGCAACAAAGUAAAGACAUGUUUUUAUUUAUUAUGUGAAACAUCGAAACAUAUAAUUUCCAAAUUGUAACCCAAAAAAUAAAUUGAAUAAAAAAUAAAAGUGUUUAUUGUUAGUCAAAGUUUUGGAAGGAAAACUUAGCUCAGAAUUGUUUUAUUUACAUCAAAAUAAUAUUAUUUUAAGUGUAUUACCUAUACUGGAGUUACAUAUUCUAUUUUCUUUUUUCUACGGUGGACACUUCGUCUUGCAACAUGCACAUUUUGAGACGGUGUCAUAACAUCCUUUUAGCCCUUCAUCACAUUGAAAACCUCCCAACCUUUGUUCAUUCGGUAAGCAUUUUGUUCUACAACACAUACAUUGUCCAUCAGUUGUUCCACAUGAUAUUUGAUCACAUAUAGUGGCACCAGUAUCCGGAACCCAUGAUGAUUUUACAUUUGUUAACGAUAUGGACAAUAAAAUAAACGAUAAGGAAGCGAUGUAGUUUUUGAAGUUCAUUGUAAAAUAUGUAACUCUGAAAAAAAUGUUACCAAAUCAAUCAGCUAUUUUGGUCGAUUUUAGACGAAUCGUAGUGAAACAAAAUUGAAUAAUUCUUGUCUGUCUAAUCUUUAUGGAUGUUGGUGAAAUUGCCGCCACAUGUAAAUAAUAAUUAAAUGACAAUACACUGCGUGUUACUGGUUUAAUGAUAAUUUUUUUUAGGCAUCAUUUGAUCUACAAUAACCUAAACACAAAACCAUAUAUCACCCGAAUU